UACGUAGGGGGCAAGCGUUGUCCGGAUUUAUUGGGCGUAAAGAGCGUGUAGGCGGUCAGGUAGGUCCGUUGUGAAAACUCGAGGCUCAACCUCGAGACGCCGAUGGAAACCAUCUGACUAGAGUCCGGAAGAGGAGAGUGGAAUUCCUGGUGUAGCGGUGAAAUGCGUAGAUAUCAGGAGGAACACCGGUGGUGUAGACGGCUCUCUGGACCGUAACUGACGCUGAGACACGAAAAGCGUGGGUAGCAAACAGG
rnacentral:rRNA from 1 species